AAACCCUGACGCAGCGACGCCGCGUGGAGGAUGAAGGCCUUCGGGUUGUAAACUCCUUUUGUAGGGGACAAUAAUGAUGGUACCCUAUGAAUAAGCCACGGCUAACUCUGUGCCAGCAGCCGCGGUAAGACAGAGGUGGCAAGCGUUGUUCGGAAUUACUGGGCUUAAAGGGCGCGUAGGUGGUGGCGUAAGUCCGAGGUGGAAGGCUAAGGCUUAACCUUAGAAUUACCUUGGAAACUGCAUCACUUGAGUCAGCGAGGGGAUGGCGGAAUUCCAGGUGUAGCGGUGAAAUGCGUAGAUAUCUGGAGGAAGGCCGGUGGCGAAGGCGGCCAUCUGGCGCUGAACUGACACUGAGGCGCGAAAGCGUGGGGAGCAAACAGGAUUAGAUACCCUGGUAGUCCACGCCCUAAACGGUGGGUACUAGGUGUAGGGCUCGCAAGGGUUCUGUGCCGAAGGGAAACCAUUAAGUACCCCGCCUGGGGAGUACGGCCGCAAGGUUG
rnacentral:rRNA from 1 species